rnacentral:rRNA from 1 species
GACGAACCGUGCGAACGUUAUUCGGAAUCACUGGGCUUAAAGGGCGCGUAGGCGGGCGGCCGAGUCCGGGGUGAAAGCUCGCCGCUUAACGGCGAGUCGGCCACGGAUACUGGGUUGCUCGAGCACUGUAGGGGCAGAUGGAAUUCCGGGUGUAGCGGUGGAAUGCGUAGAGAUCCGGAAGAACACCAGUGGCGAAGGCGGUCUGCUGGGCAGUAGCUGACACUGAUGCGCGACAGCGUGGGGAGCAAACAGG